AAAGGUCUGUAACAAUGUGAUAUGCAUUAUGUUGUUAUUAUGAUUGUUUGUACGCGAUAAUGACUUGGAUCGAGAUUGCUUUGGUAUCCACCGGUUUCAUUGCGGCCUCUAUCCAUUUGUAUUCAUCAUCAAUGUGACGAUUCGGUUUCGACGGUGGAAUUUCCUGUGAGUCAAUACCGUUAGCUAUCAGUUUGAGACUGUGUCACUAUCAUAUUCUUUGGUUGUGUUGGUUUUUUCGACGGUGGAAUUUCCUGUGAGUCAAUACCGUUAGCUAUCAGUUUGAGACUGUGUCACUAUCAUAUUCUUUGGUUGUGUUGGUUGAAAUUUUG
rnacentral:lncRNA from 1 species